rnacentral:snoRNA from 1 species
GAGAUCAUACUUCACAGGAUCAUUUCUGUAGUAUAUCUUGACUUGUUUCCCACCAGAAACUUGUCUCCUUUCAACCCACGAUGACGAGUUAAGACGCUGGUAUCUGAG